rnacentral:misc_RNA from 1 species
AUAGAGUGGUCUUUGCACCACUGCGGGCACUUCGGUGCUCCGUUAUCUUCAAACACUUGAUUACAAUUCCCUUUGCUUUCCGCAUCAGCAAUGGUGCGGAACAUUAUAUAUAACUCUGUUUAACUGUAAUGUCUGAAUACAACUUAAUAAGUUA